UACGUAGGGACCAAGCGUUGUUCGGAUUUACUGGGCGUAAAGAGCUCGUAGGUGGUUUGUCGCGUUGUUCGUGAAAACCGGGGGCUUAACCCUCGGCGUGCGGGCGAUACGGGCAGACUUGAGUACUGCAGGGGAGACUGGAAUUCCUGGUGUAGCGGUGGAAUGCGCAGAUAUCAGGAGGAACACCGGUGGCGAAGGCGGGUCUCUGGGCAGUAACUGACGCUGAGGAGCGAAAGCGUGGGGAGCGAACAGG
rnacentral:rRNA from 1 species